CAGGGCUUGAUGUGAGCAACGCCUCCUCCUUUACUCCUUCAUGGCCCUACUCUUCAUCCAUUGCUGCUCUCCUCGCAACUGCUGGCUAAGCAACAGCCGUAUCGUCCAUCCCCAAUUUAAGAAUCGAUCGAUCUGCCCUUAUCAAUGCCAAAUGGCAAAGCAGGAGCAAGUCAACGAAGAACCUUACCUUGCAAGCAUGCAGCCAAUGCCUCUGGCGUAUUUGGAACUUCAAUUACUUCCGUCUUUUCAACUUCGUUGAGAUUUGAUUUGAUCUGACCAAGACACAAUUAGUCUUCCAAUACGUCCAAACUCCAAACUACUACUAUCCUACGCAAUUACACGGGAGAGUGGAACCGUUUACACGAGAAAGAAGAUCUGGUAUUGAAGAAAGGGUAAUAUCCUGGUUUUGCUUGCCGUGCACAAACAUGAAGUGAAACGACCACCGCCCCGUUUCCCGGAUAUUUUUGGGCGGUUGGUUGGCAAUCUAUUUCGCACGAAAUACACAUGUAAACAUUC